rnacentral:rRNA from 1 species
UACGUAGGGUCCGAGCGUUGUCCGGAAUUACUGGGCGUAAAGAGCUCGUAGGUGGUUUGUCGCGUUGUUCGUGAAAACUCACAGCUCAACUGUGGGCGUGCGGGCGAUACGAGCAAACUAGAGUGUUGCAGGGGAGACUGGAAUUCCUGGUGAUAGCGGUGAAAUGCGCAGAUAUCAGGAGGAACACCGGUGGCGAAGGCGGGUCUCUGGGCAACAACGUGACGCUGGAGGAGCGAAAGCGUGGGGAGCGAACAGG